ACCACAGGACAGAUAACCAAGGAAGUCAGAAGCCAGCACAGCCUUGUUCAUUAAAAGGAGUGGUAAUGAUUCCGAGUGUCUGAAAAUCAACAGAAGUUCGGGAUAAAAAUGACUGCCUGGGCCCUUCAUGGCUCCAAAUAGGAAACUGAACCUGCUUAAGAUUCAAUUUGGAAAAGAAAAAAAAAAAAGAUUCAAUUCACUCCACCCCAGUGAAGACAAUGGUUUUUGCAAAGCUGAAGGAAAUUCAAGGUAAGACUGUGAGAUGUCAUUGGUACUAAAGCCAGAACUGAACACAUCAACUAAGAAUUGCUUUUCCUGUUUUAAAUCUUAUGAAUCAGUAAUAAUGACCAUCGGGGAGCGCAGCAUGUAUGUGGAAUUCUGCUGGAGAAAGUCGGGAUGGUGUGGCCCUUCCUUGUCAUCCACAGCUUUGUCUGCUGAAGUCCUCUGUUGAAAUUGUUCGCCAGUGAUCAGGAGCUGAGACGUGAUGUUGGUGAAAACCCUGGGAAGCCCCGUCUUCAUCUCGCACAAAGAGGGAAGUAACAGCCCAGAUGGAAUUCAGCCCAGACUAUGCUGCUGAACUGCUGUUUGCAGAGCUGUUAAAACAGAAUCAUCCAUAUUUGGAGACACGUUCUGAUGUUGUACUCAUGUGUUCUGACGUUAAAUCCCUACAGAGGCCCUAUGACAAAUCUAAAGCCCUGUAGGCCAGGGAUAUUCUCACGUUAAUUAUCCCAGGAAGAAGUGCAUUCUACAGGAGGGAAUGGAAACUGAUAAUUCAGGGUCAGAUUGGCUUGGGAUGUGAACCCAUCUAGAGGAAGACUCAGCGGGGAAGUGGAUGGAGUCUGGCUCCGUUGUGUGGGUUUUCUGCUGGUAGGAUGGGAUGCUAACGUCAGGAGACCAGCUCAAGGGUAC